rnacentral:lncRNA from 1 species
GUGCGGCUUCUUCCCGCGGUGGGCACUUCGCGUCUUCCUGCAGAUGUACUACGUGGACGACCGAUUCACUGAUCGAGCAUUUGCGUAUCGGCAUGGCUUGGUGUCUGCGUACCAGGAGCCAGGCCUCAUGGUUCUACAAACAGCGCUCUAAGUGAAGUCAUCAAGAACUUUAUUGACAAGUCCUGAGGAGUUUAAGCCGCCGGGGAAUCCACGAGGGACACCCUGGCAGCCGCUACCAUAGGCGACGCCCGAGUCGGGGCGGGAACGUGGUGGCGUUCCGCCAGUUCUUGGGCCCUCCGGACUGUCUUGAGUUUGGGGUGGAGCUCGGAGCUACUGAGUGCCUCUUCCCAGUCGGACUAACUGGUGACUGCUCCCCGAGGAUCCGGAGAGUAGCAGAAUUCGCGAUGUGUCCUGCGCUGCCCAGGGG